CAGUCGCCGCGGUAAUACGAAGGGUGCAAGCGUUACUCGGAAUUACUGGGCGUAAAGCGUGUGUAGGUGGUUGUUUAAGUCUGUCGUGAAAGCCCUGGGCUCAACCUGGGAAUUGCGAUGGAUACUGGGCGACUAGAGUGCGGUAGAGGAUAGUGGAAUUCCCGGUGUAGCAGUGAAAUGCGUAGAGAUCGGAAGGAACAUCUGUGGCGAAGGCGACUAUCUGGGCCAACACUGACACUGAGACACGAAAGCGUGGGGAGCAAACAGGAUUAGAUACCCCUGUAGUCCCUGUCUCUUAUAC
rnacentral:rRNA from 1 species